rnacentral:rRNA from 1 species
UACGUAGGGUGCGAGCGUUGUCCGGAAUUAUUGGGCGUAAAGGGCUCGUAGGCGGUCCGUCACGUCGGGAGUGAAAACUCGGGGCUUAGCUCCGGGCCUGCAGUGGGUACGGGCAGACUAGAGUGCGGUAGGGGAGACUGGAAUUCCUGGUGUAGCGGUGAAAUGCGCAGAUAUCAGGAGGAACACCGGUGGCGAAGGCGGGUCUCUGGGCCGUAACUGACGCUGAGGAGCGAAAGCGUGGGGAGCGAACAGG